AUUGAACGCUGGCGGCAGGCUUAACACAUGCAAGUCGAGCGGGGUGAUGGUGCUUGCACUAUCACUUAGCGGCGGACGGGUGAGUAAUGCUUAGGAAUCUGCCUAUUAGUGGGGGACAACAUCUCGAAAGGGAUGCUAAUACCGCAUACGUCCUACGGGAGAAAGCAGGGGAUCACUUGUGACCUUGCGCUAAUAGAUGAGCCUAAGUCGGAUUAGCUAGUUGGUGGGGUAAAGGCCUACCAAGGCGACGAUCUGUAGCGGGUCUGAGAGGAUGAUCCGCCACACUGGGACGGAGACACGGCCCAGACUCCUACGGGAGGCAGCAGUGGGGAAUAUUGGACAAUGGGGGGAACCCUGAUCCAGCCAUGCCGCGUGUGUGAAGAAGGCCUUAUGGUUGUAAAGCACUUUAAGCGAGGAGGAGGCUCUUUUGGUUAAUACCCAAGAUGAGUGGACGUUACUCACAGAAUAAGCACCGGCUAACUUUGUGCCAGCCGCCGCGGUAA
rnacentral:rRNA from 1 species